GUUUUCGGACACUGAUGGGACUACUUAGUGGCGGACGGGUGAGUAACGCGUGAGUAACCUGCCUUGGAGUGGGGAAUAACAGCUGGAAACAGCUGCUAAUACCGCAUAAUAUGUCUGUGUCGCAUGGCACUGGACAUCAAAGAUUUAUCGCUCUGAGAUGGACUCGCGUCUGAUUAGCUAGUUGGCGGGGUAACGGCCCACCAAGGCGACGAUCAGUAGCCGGACUGAGAGGUUGGCCGGCCACAUUGGGACUGAGACACGGCCCAGACUCCUACGGGAGGCAGCAGUGGGGAAUAUUGGGCAAUGGGCGCAAGCCUGACCCAGCAACGCCGCGUGAAGGAAGAAGGCUUUCGGGUUGUAAACUUCUUUUCUCAGGGACGAAGCAAGUGACGGUACCUGAGGAAUAAGCCACGGCUAACUACGUGCCAGCAGCCGCGGUAAUACGUAGGUGGCAAGCGUUAUCCGGAUUUACUGGGUGUAAAGGGCGUGUAGGCGGGACUGCAAGUCAGAUGUGAAAACCACGGGCUCAACCUGUGGCCUGCAUUUGAAACUGUAGUUCUUGAGUACUGGAGAGGCAGACGGAAUUCCUAGUGUAGCGGUGAAAUGCGUAGAUAUUAGGAGGAACACCAGUGGCGAAGGCGGUCUGCUGGACAGCAACUGACGCUGAGGCGCGAAAGCGUGGGGAGCAAACAGGAUCAGAUACCCUGGUAGUCCACGCUGUAAACGAUGGAUACUAGGUGUGGGGGGACUGACCCCCUCCGUGCCGCAGUUAACACAAUAAGUAUCCCACCUGGGGAGUACGAUCGCAAGGUU
rnacentral:rRNA from 1 species